AUUGAACGCUGGCGGCAGGCCUAACACAUGCAAGUCGAGCGGAGCGGCGGACGGGUGAGUAAUGCCUAGGAAUCUGCCUGGUAGUGGGGGAUAACGUCCGGAAACGGGCGCUUAUACCGCAUACUAUCAGAUGAGCCUCGGUCGGAUUAGCUAGUUGGGGGGGUAAAGGCCUACCAAGGCGACGAUCCGUAACUGGUCUGAGAGGAUGAUCAGUCACACUGGAACUGAGACACGGUACAGACUCCUACGGGAGGAAGCAGGGGGGAAUAUUGGACAAUGGGCGAAAGCCUGAUGCAGCCAUGCCGAGUGUGUGAAGAAGGUCGUCGGAUUGUAAAGCACUGUAAGUUGGGAGGCGUUACCAACAGAAUAAGCACCGGCUAACUUCGUGCCAGCAGCCGCGGUAAUUC
rnacentral:rRNA from 1 species